CAACCAUCCCCACAUCCCCCUUCUCUUUUGUCUGCUUUAUUACUACCAUCGCCAGACUUACCUCCAUAGCCAGCCACACCAGACCCUUCUUCUCCGGUUGCCACCAGCUCCAAAAAUAAAUUUGUCCGGUUCAAAUACAGUUGAGUCAAGCCCCCUCCAAACCCCCAUCAUCUGCCGACAAAGGAACCAUCUAAUAUCUUAAACCAAUAAGUUAAAGAUUCAGGUUCAAUAACGCCGGCGUUGCCAACCAAACGAGAUCAAAAUCAGUUAUAGUGCUCUGAAAUCAAGGGUUACAGUGUUACUCUCGUCAUUCUUCGGUGGUCCGACACAACGGUGACAAUUAUUAGAUGGUGGAGGUGGUGUAGUGGUGGUUGUUUUUGUGGUGGAGGUCAUGCGACGACAAAUCGAAAUCAGUAUAAAAACCGGAUUUUUCUGUUUCCAAUGAUGAUAGAUCUGGAGAUUUGAGGUUUGCUGGCGGAAAUAGGUUUUUUUUUUUUCCUUUUUUGCUAGCAGAAAUGGGUUGUGAACGAAUCAGAUUCUCUCUUUUGAUUUGUCUUCUACACCUGUCAGCCACCAAAUUGGGUGGAUGAGUUUCUCGAUUUCUCGUCGAUAAAGAGGAGCGUGCAUUGUCGGUCUGUGAACGAUCCAAUUGCCUUCAUCCAGGAAUGUCGCGAUUCUAACAGCACUGGAUUUUUGCGUUUCGAUGAUGAGCUGUUUAGUGAUGAUAUCACUACGAAUCUCCCGUCUUCAAAUCUGUCUUCGCCAUCGGAUCAAAACAGCCAUCACUACGAAUCUCUGUCAUCGUUAAAUCUUACGUUUCGAUGGUGGCCGGCCUCUGCAGAUUGGAGUAUGUGUAUUUGUGUUGAUAUGUUUUGGUUUAGGGUUUUUAUAACUUUAGAGGGGUUAUAAGGGAUGAGUCCACCUAGGCAAGCCACAUCACAUUAUUAUGACACGUAGGAUUAAAGAACUAACCCAGUUAGUGAUUAUUUAACGACGGGGUGACACAGCAACCCAAGUGUUAAGUUGAGAGUGGUGUGAGCCAAAGUCAAAGUUGAGAGUGCCAGCGGCCAAAUGGCAAUAGUUGAGUGUGUUUAAAUCCAUUAACCCUUUAUUUUUUGGGGGUACGAUAUGAGAAUUUUAACCAUAAUGUUAUAGGGUGUGAUCUGAAUAAUACACUAAUUUCCCCAGUAGGUUGUAGGACUUCGGGUGAUGAAUUGAUUAAUGAAACUCAGUCAUAUAUUAUCUUAAUUUCCCUAUUAUUGCAUCGAUUUCUCUAUUUUUUGUUAGGUGCUAACAUGCAGUCAUCGCCAUCACAUUCCAAUUUAAGGUAAGUUACUUUUUCACCUAUGUUUUUUUUAAACGGAGACUUUCUAUGUGUUUGGCCACGACACUCCUCAAAUUUAAGAGUUACGUUGCCUCACUCCGUCCAGACUAUGUUGUCUUAAUUGGGUCCACGCUGGUUUCCAAGUUUGGCUUGGGCGUUCCCCUGGGAAACCAUACCGCGGCUGCCACUUGACAGACCUUUGUGUCACCACAAGAACAGAACUCUCUGUCAUAACACACGGUGAGACGAAAACCCUGGUGGGCUCAGGAUUCGAAUUGACAACCUCGCACAAGUUGAAGUCACAUCCGGGAUUUUGUUUUGUACAAAGCUCCCAUCUAUGAGGCGUAACAUUCUGAAAUUUAUUGAUAUCUUCUCGGCGUACAUUGCUCCUUUCUCGCUUAUGAUGGUGUCAGAUCAGUCCCACAAACCUAACUGGAUGCCGUAUUUGCUCCUAGCGUACGGAGCUGCAUAUUUUGCGUGAUGAUGAUAAUGACUAUAUAUGUCAAGAAUCUCAACAAGAGUUCAUCGUUUUCUGUGUUUACUUACUUGGGACGUUUUCUUGUACCGCUCUUGCUUGUGUUGGUGUUAUAUGUCCCCAAAAACAUAAACUGGAUUGUGGAUUCAGUCCUAUAUUUAUCCCUUUGGAUAGAGGUUACACAUUUCCUUAUCUUCUUCUUCAACAAGAUAAGAACAACAAUGACUUGGAAGCCCAACUUAACAAGUGAUCCAACACGACAACAACAACAAUCAUCCUUGAGUUAAUUACGUGCGCGUUUUUAUUUUAGGACGUUUUGAUUACUAGAUGUUUGAAACCAUGUUAGUUUCAGUGAUUUUAAUCUAUACUUAUCCACAUAGUCAGUUCCAAAAACCCUUACGUAUUUGUAUACUUCUAUAGUUCAAUGGCAUAUUUAUUGGAUAUCAA